rnacentral:rRNA from 1 species
GGGUUGUGAGGUUAAGCGACUAAGCGUACACGGUGGAUGCCCUGGCAGUCAGAGGCGAUGAAGGACGUGCUAAUCUGCGAUAAGCGUCGGUAAGGUGAUAUGAACCGUUAUAACCGGCGAUUUCCGAAUGGGGAAACCCAGUGUGUUUCGACACACUAUCAUUAACUGAAUCCAUAGGUUAAUGAGGCGAACCGGGGGAACUGAAACAUCUAAGUACCCCGAGGAAAAGAAAUCAACCGAGAUUCCCCCAGUAGCGGCGAGCGAACGGGGAGCAGCCCAGAGUCUGAAUCAGUAUGUGUGUUAGUGGAAGCGUCUGGAAAGACGCGCGAUACAGGGUGACAGCCCCGUACACAAAAAUGCACAUAUUGUGAGCUCGAUGAGUAGGGCGGGACACGUGGUAUCCUGUCUGAAUAUGGGGGGACCAUCCUCCAAGGCUAAAUACUCCUGACUGACCGAUAGUGAACCAGUACCGUGAGGGAAAGGCGAAAAGAACCCCGGCGAGGGGAGUGAAAAAGAACCUGAAACCGUGUACGUACAAGCAGUGGGAGCACGCUUAGGCGUGUGACUGCGUACCUUUUGUAUAAUGGGUCAGCGACUUAUAUUCUGUAGCAAGGUUAACCGAAUAGGGGAGCCGAAGGGAAACCGAGUCUUAACUGGGCGUUAAGUUGCAGGGUAUAGACCCGAAACCCGGUGAUCUAGCCAUGGGCAGGUUGAAGGUUGGGUAACACUAACUGGAGGACCGAACCGACUAAUGUUGAAAAAUUAGCGGAUGACUUGUGGCUGGGGGUGAAAGGCCAAUCAAACCGGGAGAUAGCUGGUUCUCCCCGAAAGCUAUUUAGGUAGCGCCUCGUGAACUCAUCUCCGGGGGUAGAGCACUGUUUCGGCAAGGGGGUCAUCCCGACUUACCAACCCGAUGCAAACUGCGAAUACCGGAGAAUGUUAUCACGGGAGACACACGGCGGGUGCUAACGUCCGUCGUGAAGAGGGAAACAACCCAGACCGCCAGCUAAGGUCCCAAAGUCAUGGUUAAGUGGGAAACGAUGUGGGAAGGCCCAGACAGCCAGGAUGUUGGCUUAGAAGCAGCCAUCAUUUAAAGAAAGCGUAAUAGCUCACUGGUCGAGUCGGCCUGCGCGGAAGAUGUAACGGGGCUAAACCAUGCACCGAAGCUGCGGCAGCGACGCUUAUGCGUUGUUGGGUAGGGGAGCGUUCUGUAAGCCUGUGAAGGUGUGCUGUGAGGCAUGCUGGAGGUAUCAGAAGUGCGAAUGCUGACAUAAGUAACGAUAAAGCGGGUGAAAAGCCCGCUCGCCGGAAGACCAAGGGUUCCUGUCCAACGUUAAUCGGGGCAGGGUGAGUCGACCCCUAAGGCGAGGCCGAAAGGCGUAGUCGAUGGGAAACAGGUUAAUAUUCCUGUACUUGGUGUUACUGCGAAGGGGGGACGGAGAAGGCUAUGUUGGCCGGGCGACGGUUGUCCCGGUUUAAGCGUGUAGGCUGGUUUUCCAGGCAAAUCCGGAAAAUCAAGGCUGAGGCGUGAUGACGAGGCACUACGGUGCUGAAGCAACAAAUGCCCUGCUUCCAGGAAAAGCCUCUAAGCAUCAGGUAACAUCAAAUCGUACCCCAAACCGACACAGGUGGUCAGGUAGAGAAUACCAAGGCGCUUGAGAGAACUCGGGUGAAGGAACUAGGCAAAAUGGUGCCGUAACUUCGGGAGAAGGCACGCUGAUAUGUAGGUGAAGUCCCUUGCGGAUGGAGCUGAAAUCAGUCGAAGAUACCAGCUGGCUGCAACUGUUUAUUAAAAACACAGCACUGUGCAAACACGAAAGUGGACGUAUACGGUGUGACGCCUGCCCGGUGCCGGAAGGUUAAUUGAUGGGGUCAGCGCAAGCGAAGCUCUUGAUCGAAGCCCCGGUAAACGGCGGCCGUAACUAUAACGGUCCUAAGGUAGCGAAAUUCCUUGUCGGGUAAGUUCCGACCUGCACGAAUGGCGUAAUGAUGGCCAGGCUGUCUCCACCCGAGACUCAGUGAAAUUGAACUCGCUGUGAAGAUGCAGUGUACCCGCGGCAAGACGGAAAGACCCCGUGAACCUUUACUAUAGCUUGACACUGAACAUUGAGCCUUGAUGUGUAGGAUAGGUGGGAGGCUUGGAAGUGUGGACGCCAGUCUGCAUGGAGCCGACCUUGAAAUACCACCCUUUAAUGUUUGAUGUUCUAACGUUGACCCGUAAUCCGGGUUGCGGACAGUGUCUGGUGGGUAGUUUGACUGGGGCGGUCUCCUCCUAAAGAGUAACGGAGGAGCACGAAGGUUGGCUAAUCCUGGUCGGACAUCAGGAGGUUAGUGCAAUGGCAUAAGCCAGCUUGACUGCGAGCGUGACGGCGCGAGCAGGUGCGAAAGCAGGUCAUAGUGAUCCGGUGGUUCUGAAUGGAAGGGCCAUCGCUCAACGGAUAAAAGGUACUCCGGGGAUAACAGGCUGAUACCGCCCAAGAGUUCAUAUCGACGGCGGUGUUUGGCACCUCGAUGUCGGCUCAUCACAUCCUGGGGCUGAAGUAGGUCCCAAGGGUAUGGCUGUUCGCCAUUUAAAGUGGUACGCGAGCUGGGUUUAGAACGUCGUGAGACAGUUCGGUCCCUAUCUGCCGUGGGCGCUGGAGAACUGAGGGGGGCUGCUCCUAGUACGAGAGGACCGGAGUGGACGCAUCACUGGUGUUCGGGUUGUCAUGCCAAUGGCACUGCCCGGUAGCUAAAUGCGGAAGAGAUAAGUGCUGAAAGCAUCUAAGCACGAAACUUGCCCCGAGAUGAGUUCUCCCUGACUCCUUGAGAGUCCUGAAGGAACGUUGAAGACGACGACGUUGAUAGGCCGGGUGUGUAAGCGCAGCGAUGCGUUGAGCUAACCGGUACUAAUGAACCGUGAGGCUUAACCUUACAACGCCGAAG